UUUUACUGCGACGUUCGCUCGAAACGUUGGCCUCUUCUUUAUGCGUUUUAAGACUGUUUAAUUUUACAUCUUCUAUGUAACGCACAAUCAUUUAUGCUUUCUUUUGUCUUCCUUAAACAUUUACAGAGUGGUUGCUAAGGGUGUCGUUCGGACUAGAAUAACUAUGAAGUGAAGCGAGCUCAGUUUUACCCCUUCUGGGAUUGUGCUGCUCAACGAACAAUUUCGCUAAAUCGUAAUAUCAGAGUGUCUUCAGGAUAAAAAAGGUCCGCAAAUGACAGCGUUGCUGUGGACGGUUGCCGGAAGCCUCUUAUUCGUGUGGGCAUCGAACACAAUGGCGGAAGUGCGAUGGAUGACAACACCAGGGCCCCGAAUACCAAGAGGGCGCAAGGCCGUGGAAGCCAUUUGGAAACCAUGCAAGAAUUACUCAGAGCCGUGCUUAAGUACCAAGGACUGCUGCGAGGAGAGGCUGUGCUACGAGUACCGGUGCUCCUUUCAGAAGCUGGGGAUGAAAAAGCCGGGGUGACCACCAUGGCCAACUCACAAACGGGGCUCCCGCUGCGUCAUAAAUAAUUGGGAAUGCCUGCACAAAUGGCUUACAAUCUGAUCGACGCCAUGCAGCACUGCUCUUUCUUUAUGCCCGGCACUUACAUGCUGCAGCGUGGACGUCUGAAUAAAAUAUUC